rnacentral:rRNA from 1 species
CCCUUAGAUGUUCUGGGCAGCACGCGCGCUACAAUGGUCUUCGCAAACGGAUGCAUUCUCGAAGGAGAAUGCCAAUCUUGGAAUCUAUGCCUUGGUCGGGACAGUUGCUUGCAAUUUUUCGACUCGAAUCAGGAAUUCCUUGUAAUCGUGAUUCAUCACAUCACGAUGAAUACGUCCCUGCCCUUUGUACACACCGCCCGUCGCUCCUACCGAUCGAAGAGUUAGGUGAAUUGUUUUGAUCGAUAAGAUUUGACUAUGGUCAACUCUCGUUGUGAAAUUCUGUGAAUCUGACUGUUUAGAGGAAGGAAAAGUCGUAACA